rnacentral:lncRNA from 1 species
AUUGUGUUGCAAGGAAAAAAUGGUUGGGGCAUUAAGGGCUUGACUGAUUUAAACGCAGCGGUUGCGAUUGCAGCUAUGAGUAUUUGCGAAAGCGGGCAAUUGCGGUUUUAAUGUUAUUUAUAGCGGUUGAAAACAGGUGCGUUUGUGGAAGAUUUACGACUAGUUGAUCAGUGGAUACGAUAGCCGUUAAACCAAAAUUUACCAAAAUAAAUGUAAAAUAUAAUUGUGAAACUAUAAAAACACCAAAAACUAUAUUUAUGAAAAAGUAUAAUUUUUUUAAACAUGACUAAUAAUUAAUAACCAUAAAUAACUACUACAUAAUUAUUCAAAUAUUAAAACAAAUAAUUUUAUAGUAAAACAUAAAUAAUUAUUAAUAUUGGAAAAUUAAAGUUAGAUAAUAAUUUUUUUUUAGAAUUAAUGCGAAUAUAUAUAUAUAUAUAUAUAUAUAUAUAUAUAUAUAUAUAUGAUUUGAUAAUAUAUAUUUUAAUUUGUUGAUUUUCUUUUUUUAGUUUCUUUCAUUUUUAAACCAACCGCAACCGCAUACGCUUGCGGAAAAGAGCUUUUGAAAUUCAGCGAUUUUGAGCAGUCUAAAACGGUAUGGAGCAGUUUUUACAAUUAGUAUCAACCGUUAACAACCGCAACCGACCGCUAACAAUCGCUAUGCGGGUUCUAGCAGGAGAACCAAUCAAACCCUAAGUACAUUAAGAGUGGAUUAAUUUUGUGGUGUAAGUAGACCCUUGAGCUGAACCGUAAAAGAUGUGUUAUUAAAAGGAAGGUCUUUUAGUUGCCCUUUCUAAAAAGAGAAUGGAAACAAAGAAGUUGCUGGCACAAUAAUAAGUUUUUUUAGUGAGGUAUUUUUGGGAAGAAGUUGUUACCGCUGUGAGGAGCACGCAGCAAGGACUUCCACGAGAAAAAGACAUCCAUGAUUAAUGGAGAGUAAAUGUUUUACUCGUGAUAUCUUAGUCAUGUAUAAGGUAGAUGUAAUUUAUAUUUUGUUUUUUAAUGGUAUCUAAUAAACUAUUUUGGCAGCCGAGAAUUAGUGAUUGGAUUUGAAAGAAUCGAUCAAUACCUCAUUAAAUC